UACGUAGGGUCCGAGCGUUGUCCGGAAUUACUGGGCGUAAAGAGCUCGUAGGUGGUUUGUCGCGUUGUUCGUGAAAACUCACAGCUCAACUGUGGGCGUGCGGGCGAUACGGGCAGACUAGAGUACUGCAGGGGAGACUGGAAUUCCUGGUGUAGCGGUGGAAUGCGCAGAUAUCAGGAGGAACACCCGUAGCGAAGGCGGCACUCUGGGCCGAUACUGACACUGAGGAGCGAAAGCGUGGGGAGCGAACAGG
rnacentral:rRNA from 1 species